CGAGUUCAUUCAAACUUGUUAAGCAGCAAAGGAAUGGAGCAGCAUUCAGAACUGUUGCAAGAAAGCAAGAGAGCCAGGCUUGGAGGCUGUGGACCCAGCAGCACGGUCCAGAGGAUCUCCGUGGCCGCUUCCCCUGACACCACACUGCCACUGGGCAGAGGCAGCCCACAUCCAGGCUGACACUGGACAACAAACACUGGAACGUCCACCCCUGCUGCCAGAAGCUCCAGUUGUCACUGUCAUCUGCCAAGAAAAAAAACUAUAAAUAAAAGACUCCAUGUGGCUCCUACUUUUCAGUUCCCUCUUCGAUGUGGGGUACCGGAUGGGCAGAGCCUGUCAUGGGCCUGCCGAGGAGCCAGGAUCACCAGGCCUCCGCUUUCCAGUGCCAGGGUUUGAAAGCAGAGCUCCAAACAGACAUGGACGACAAUGAGCUAGAGGACAGCAUGUGCAUAAGACCUUCAGGAUUCAGAGGCUACCC
rnacentral:lncRNA from 13 species